rnacentral:rRNA from 1 species
UACGAAGGGGGCUAGCGUUGCUCGGAAUCACUGGGCGUAAAGGGUGCGUAGGCGGGUUUCUAAGUCAGAGGUGAAAUCCUGGAGCUCAACUCCAGAACUGCCUUUGAUACUGGAAGUCUUGAGUAUGGGAGAGGUGAGUGGAACUGCGAGUGUAGAGGUGAAAUUCGUAGAUAUUCGGAAGAACACCAGUGGCGAAGGCGACUUACUGGACACAUAUUGACGCUGAGGUGCGAAAGCGUGGGGAGCAAACAGG